rnacentral:lncRNA from 1 species
GCUUAUGAGGUUAAGGUGAAACUACUGAAGAUGCUUUAUGCUUGGCCAGUGAGAUGAACUGUCAUACUUCUCGUAUAUCAUCCAUUUUUAUUGUUGAACUUUAUCUAGUGGUCAUAUAUGUGUCUGGUUGAAAAACAACAUUUGCCUUGUUUUCGUAUUUGUUUGAAAAACAAUAUGUGUAUUGUAAAAGUUUAUAAAUUAUCGACUUAUCGUAUUUGUUUAUCAUAAGUAAAAUGAUUGUUCUACAACAAUUCAUAUUUUCAUAUUGUUGUAACUAAUGUUCUUGCAAACAUAUGUAUGUGAAGAAAUUGUUGUGAAACUGACUACGAUUGCAAGAAGAAAUGAUCUUUGUU